rnacentral:rRNA from 1 species
UGGGGAAUAUUGCACAAUGGAGGGAACUCUGAUGCAGCGACGCCGCGUGAGUGAUGAAGGAAUUCGUUUCGUAAAACUCUGUUCUAUGGGAAGAAAAGGACUGUACCAUAGGAGAAAGCUCCGGCUAAAUACGUGCCAGCAGCCGCGGUAAUACGUAUGGAGCGAGCGUUGUCCGGAAUUAUUGGGCGUAAAGGGUGCGCAGGCGGCUUUACAAGUUGGAUGUGAAAUAUUGUGGCUCAACCACAAACGUGCAUCCAAAACUGCAAAGCUUGAGUUAAGGAGAGGUAAGUGGAAUUCCUGGUGUGGCGGUGGAAUGCGUAGAUAUCAGGGGGAAUACCGGUGGCGAAGGCGACUUACUGGGCUUAAACUGACGCUCAGGCACGAAAGCGUGGGGAGCAAACAGG